GGUUAAGUUAGAAAGGGCGCACGGUGAAUGCCUUGGCACUAGGAGCCGAUGAAGGACGGGACUAACACCGAUAUGCUUCGGGGAGCUGUAAGUAAGCUUUGAUCCGGAGAUUUCCGAAUGGGGAAACCCCCUAUCCGUAAUGGGAUAGGAUCUUUACCUGAAUACAUAGGGUAUUGAAGGCAGACCCGGGGAACUGAAACAUCUAAGUACCCGGAGGAAGAGAAAGCAAACGCGAUUCCCUGAGUAGCGGCGAGCGAAACGGGAAGAGCCCAAACCAAGAGGCUUGCCUCUUGGGGUUGUAGGACACUCUAUACGGAGUUACAAAAGAGCGAGUUAGAUGAAGCGACUUGGAAAGGUCCGCCAGAGCAGGUAAAAGCCCUGUAGU
rnacentral:rRNA from 1 species